UACGUAGGGACCAAGCGUUGUUCGGAAUUACUGGGCGUAAAGCGUGCGUAGGCGGUUCGUUAAGUUCGUUGUGAAAGCCCCGGGCUCAACCUGGGAAUGGCAAUGGAAACUGGCGGGCUUGAGUAUGGCAGAGGGGGGUGGAAUUCCGCGUGUAGCAGUGAAAUGCGUAGAGAUGCGGAGGAACACCGAUGGCGAAGGCAGCCCCCUGGGCCAAUACUGACGCUCAGGCACGAAAGCGUGGGGAGCAAACAGG
rnacentral:rRNA from 1 species